CCCCACUGCUAUCGGGAUAGGACUAAGACAUGCUAGUCGAGUGACUCAGGCAAAACGAGUCACGGCACACAGCUCAGUAACACGUGGCUAAUCUGCCCUUGGGACUAGAACAACCCCGGGAAACUGGGGCUAACUCUAGAUAGGUGAAGAACUCUGGAAUGAGUCUUUGCCUAAAUAGGUUCACGUUAUCCUCGUGAACUUGCCCAAGGAUGAGGCCGCGACCGAUCAGGUUGUUGGCGAGGUAAUGGCUCACCAAGCCUUUUACCGGUGCGGGCCGUGGGAGCGGGAGCCCGGAGAUGGGUACUGAGACAAGGACCCAGGCCCUACGGGGCGCAGCAGUCGCGAAACCUUUGCAAUACACGAAAGUGUGACAGGGCUAUCCCGAGUGCCAUCCGCUGAGGAAGGCUUUUACCCAGUCUAGAACGCUGGGGGAAUAAGGAGAGGGCAAGUCUGGUGUCAGCCGCCGCGGUAAUACCAGCUCUCCGAGUGGUGUGGAUGUUUAUUGGGCCUAAAGCAUCCGUAGCUGGCUAGGUAAGUCCCUUGUUAAAUCCACCGAAUUAAUCGUUGGAUCGCGGGGGAUACUGCUUGGCUAGGGGACGAGAGAGGCAGACGGUAUUCUCGGGGUAGGGGUGAAAUCCUAUAAUCCCGGGAAGACCACCAGUGGCGAAGGCUGUCUGCUAGAACGCGCCCGACGGUGAGGGAUGAAAGCUGGGGGAGCGAACCGGAUUAGAUACCCGGGUAGUCCCAGCUGUAAACGAUGCAGACUAGGUGUUUGAACGGCCACGUGCCGUUCUAGUGCCGCAGGGAAGCUGUUAAGUCUGCCGCCUGGGGAGUACGAUCGCAAGAUUGAAACUUAAAGGAAUUGGCGGGGGAGCACCACAAGGGGUGAAGCUUGCGGUUU
rnacentral:rRNA from 1 species